rnacentral:tRNA from 1 species
UCCCUGGAGGGCUAGUGGUUAGGCCUGGGCGCUCUCACCGCCGCGGGCCGGGUUCGAUUCCUGGCUAGGGAA